UCGUGCAACCAGAAAGGCCGAGUAGUUCCGAUUGAAUGUGAAAUGUGUGGGAUUGUGCAGCACAUGUCAUCAUGACAUGUGUCCCUUCCCAGCCUUCAGUUUUGAUUAUAGACUAGAGAAGAGACUAAAUGCGUACAAACCUGAUGUCAAAUGAAGAUAUACGGAAUUUAAAUAACGUUGAUCCUUUAAAUGUAUGAAAAACAAAAACAUAUGACAAUUGUUCACAUAAAAUAGAUAGUAAAAUUUUCCAAAUGAACGUCCAUUAA
rnacentral:lncRNA from 1 species